UUAAUUUUUGUGAUUGUCAACAAUUGUCUUAAAAAGAAUUAUUGGACUCAUCAACAUUAGUUACUUAUAAAAACUUUAUUAUAUCCAGUUGCUUUAAACCUGAAUAGUUUUUUUACUGCUGGUUUGUAUUGUUUUCAAUUUCUACUAGUCAAAAACUAAUUUUUAAGAAUAAUACCUGGUCUUUUAAAAGCUUCAUUAAUAUCAUUCUGCUGACCAGUUAUUUGCACAUCAUUAACAUCUUGUUGAGAAUAAAGUGUUUUCAUAUUUCAUAUAUUGUGAUAGUAAUGAUAUUAAACUUCCUGGAUAUGUAACAGUUCAUUCAACAUUUUAUGAAAACUAAUAAAACAAUAAAUCAGUUUACUUUGCAUAAAGAGAUAAGGGGGUAAAUUCAAGGCUUGUUUUUUAUGUCUUUAACACCUUUAAUAUCGAUUGGUGUGGUUUCAGUAUUAAGUUUUGUUCUUCCAGUUUUGUAUAAUGUCUUGUGUUGCAUUGGUACUCCUUGUUAUAAGAUAAUAAAUAUUUCUUCAGAAAAGGAUUUUUAUAUUGCCUCAAUUUUGGUGUAUUUACUAUAGUUUUAUUCAAUAUGUACACUUAAAUUUAAAACAGACAAAAAAUGUCAUCUCGGUGUUUGUUUUUCUAAAAUAUUAUCAACGGUUUUUAUUUAAGAUUUGUAACAGAUUAGGUUUGAAUGAACCUCCUUUUUGUACAUAAGAUCAUCAGUUAACUGAGUGAAAACUGUUUCUGAAGAAACUAUUCAUCAAAACCAACAAUAUAUAGGAGAAAAGUUUAUCAAGUUUAAGAAAAUGAUUAAUAGUCUACUUAACUAUUAGUUACAAAUACAUUUUGACUAACAAUUCUUGUUGGUACUUUUUUACAUGAGAAAUAUUCACAAUGGUUUCAGCAUACCUGUUUCUCUUAUCUGGUUUUGCCUUUUAUUAUUUUUUUUGGUAGUGGAUGAGUAAUGCUUAUCCAUGCACAUUACAUGCUUAACUGUGUAAUUUUAACAGUUGAAGAUUGAAUGUGAAUUUGUCUCAUAGAAUUCUCUGCAAAUAAUGAAAUAUCAUGAGAACAUACAUUUUACAAUAAUAUGUUUAACACUUUUACUUAUUCUUUGUAAACUGUAGAGCUAAUUGGGAUCAAAUUUCUUGUACUCACUUUGGUAUUGAUCUUGUGAAGUUUAAAUCAGUAGGUACUACCAUAAUCUUCUGUUCUCAUAGGCAAUAUAGUUUUAAGCCUCAUUCCGCAUUCCUUUAUCAAAGCUGUUUAUAUAUAUAUAUAUAUAUAUAUAGAUAUGUUUGAGUUUGUAUAUAUUCCUGUUGGUUGUUGUGUGUUUAGUCACAUAUUUUUAAAACCACCUUCAAAGAGAAAUAAAUGAAAUUGUGAAGGUAGACUUCCUGAAAAGAGUUGCAAUAUUUACAUGCUUAAAUGCCUGUUGUGAUAUCUACUUUCCUAUGAACAUUUAUUCACAUAUUGCAAGCUGUGUUUCUGCACAUUUGACUUCAUUUUCAUGAAAAUUAAAUGCUGGAGCUCAGUUUUUUUCACGUACAGUGUAAUGACCAAGUUUUCAUGUAAGAGAGAUGGUUGUAUUAGUGUUGCAUGUAAUAAUGUAAUUUAGGAGAUAUAUUGAAAACUAAUUAAUUAUUGUAAUUGCUAGGUAAAUUACUUUCUUCAAUAUUGUUAGACUUUGUUACAAAAUAAUACUCACCCCUGCAAGUGUUUAAAAGAAUGACAUACUUUUGUAUUAUCUAGAAUGGUUUAUAACAAUCAACCAUUUAUCCAGCACGUUUUAUAUAUAUAUAUGCAUGCUUUACAUCAAAUAACCAUACUUUUACUUCAUAACAUUUUCUAGAAGAUAUUCUCUAAAAUAAAAUGAAAAUAUUAAAAAUGGCAAGAACCAGAUAAUUAGAACACAGAAAAUUAUAAUACAAUUUCUCAAUAACUUGACCUUUUUACCAUGAGACACUAAAAAAAAAGUAGCAAUUAGAUUUUAGAAUGACUUUUGUAAAUACCCUGUAUUAAGUAAAUCCGUAUAAAUCCAUCAGAACUACUGUUUUUAAUAUAUCCAAGAAUCAAAACAAUAUAAUUGUUCUUGAAGUGUCAAACUCUUAAUUAACAAUUGGACUUUUGGUCAAACUAUACGUCUCGUGGAAUGCUGCUUUUGACCUUAAGAAAUAAAAAAACAAACUAUUAUUCUAUAUUGCAAAGACAUUCUUUAUAACUUCAAUUUGACUCUAGAAAAAGAUAAUUCAGCUGUGAUAUAAAACUUUAUUUAAGCAUUGAAAAUUUGUGAUUAGUACAGUGACUUUCUUAAUGCAGGGUAUUUAAUAUAAACAUUGUUCAUAAGUUCAGUUACUUUCCUUAGUGUCCUAGAGUGUCAUGUUCAGUUAGAAAAAAGAAAGAAACUUGUGUUUAAUCAAACUGGUUUAAAUAAUAAAUUCUUAAAGAUGUCACUAAGAGCUUGCUAGAAAAAUACUGUACUUCAGCGUUACAUGUUUUAAAAUGUGUGUAACCAAUAUUAAUUUAUAGAAAAUUCGGGAAGCCUAAUGCCCUGAUGGUAUUAUAGUUAAAUAUUCAUAAAUACUUUUGUCUUUACCCUCUGCAACUUUCUGGAAGCAAGAUCCAUGAGAGGGAAAGUAUGUUGAGAUUAAACUCUAUUGUAAGGAAAUUCUAAUAAAGAUUCAUUAUAUUGUAAUAAUAGAUAUAAAACUGAAAAGUUACUUUUUUUAGUUAUAAAAUGUAUUCAUGUUAAGGUUUCUUUUAAAAUAUAAUAUUUUGCAAAGAAAAAUCUUGAGCAACAAUUGUGAGUGGAUGAAGCUCGCUAUAUAACCUUGUUUAAAACAUAAAUAUGUAAUUUUGAUUUGUUCACAAAAAUAUCAAUGAACCCUUUUCUUCUCUUUUUGGACAGUCACAAGGAGACUAUGCUUGUCUGGUAUGUGGCUGAAAACUUGAUAUGAUGUAAAAUGCUGGGAAAAGCUCUACAUACAUUGAGAAUUUAAAAAAUUAGGUAGCAUGGAAAUCAAAUCUUAACCUUUUGUUCAAGUGGUUAAUAUAAUAUUAAAAUUAUUUUUAGUUAAAAAAAUUAGAUUCAAAUCAAUUGUAGCAAGUAAUUGGGGAAUACAUGAUUUUUAUAGUUAUUUUAUAUAUAACUGAACUAGCAUGAACUGACAGUUUUAUGUGCAUAAUAAAAUGGAAAAUCAUGCACCAUAAAAAAAAAAAACUUUAACUGUUCAGUAAGUGCUUGUGAUAAGCUGAUGUACAAUUAAGUUUUGCAAGAAUCACUGUACUUGUACUGUGCUACAUUCACUAAUAAAUUCAAAGUAAUAUACUCUUA
rnacentral:lncRNA from 1 species